rnacentral:sRNA from 1 species
UUCCAGAAAGUUCACAUUCCUGUGAUUGUUGGAAUCUCUGGCAUUAUCCAAGGGCUUCUUCUCAUCGCUCCGGCUGUUCUACAGUUUGUUGAUCCGUACACGCUUCCGGUUUUGACUUACGGAAAUCAAAGUAACGGUUCCCACGAAAGUGACAAGUACAUGUGUGGUGCCACAAUUAUAAAUGAGACCACGAAUGGCACAACCUUAUCACCCAACACCAACAAAUCUGAAGACAUAAGUCAAACUGCGCUGAUUCUGGUGCUGGUGGUGUUAACUUUAAAGGGCGUCACGGAGUCCUUCCACACCCACUACCUCCCCACGGUCUACGUGGACGACAACAUGCUGGACAAAACAAAGAUGUCCU